UUUCAUCGGUUCAGUAAGUUCACAAUUCUUUAGCGUCCCGAAUCAUUUUCAGCAGGUACUUUUGGCCAGGUGGAGUUUUCCCACAAAUGUCAGACUUUUCUGCCCGAAGAGGACCCACGCGAGGACCAUCCGUAGCGCUUUAUCUGUACCAACCUGCAUUUGCAUUUUCAAAUUACACGUUUCAGUAGUAUUGAUGGUCCAGUUAUAUGUAAACAGCGCUGGAGACACGAAGUCGUGUGGAAGUUGCAGGCUGCUGGAAAUAAUCACACGCAUUAACAGCUUUACCAGCGACCAGCAGAAGAUGAAGGGAAGAAAAGCUACCCAGGCACCCAAACUCCAUCAGUAGUAAGUGUUUAAACAUUCGACCUG